rnacentral:rRNA from 1 species
GUCCUAGCCGUAAACGAUGGGCACUUGGUGUUGGGGUAUUGAGUCCCCCGGUGCCGGAGUUAACACGUUAAGUGCCCCGCCUGGGGAGUACGGUCGCAAGACUGAAACUCAAAGGAAUUGACGGGGCCCGCACAAGCGGUGGAGCAUGUGGUUCAAUUCGACGCAACGCGAAGAACCUUACCGAGGCUUGAACUGUAACUGCAACUCGUGGAAACAUGAGGUUCUCUUCGGAGACGGUUAUAGAGGUGCUGCAUGGCUGUCGU